rnacentral:rRNA from 1 species
UCAAGUAAUGAAGUGCACAUGGUGGAUGCCUUGGCAGUCAGAGGCGAUGAAAGACGUGAUAGCCUGCGAUAAGCGUCGGUGAGGUGGCAAUAUCCUGUGACCCGGCGAUUUCUGAAUGGGGAAACCCACCUAAGAUAACUUAGGUAUCAUAAUUUAUUUUAUGAGGCGAACCGGGAGAAGUGAAACAUCUCAGUACCCCGAGGAAAAGACAUCAAUUGAGAUUCCCCAAGUAGCGGCGAGCGAACGGGGAGUAGCCGAUUAGAUUUGUAGUAGCAAAAUGGCGUGGGAAAGCCAACCAUAGUAGGUGAUAGUCCUGUAUGCGAAACUGCAAUUUUAACAUAUUAAGUAGGGCGGAACACGAGAAAUUCUGUCUGAAGAUGGGGGGACCAUCCUCCAAGGCUAAAUACUCCUGACUGACCGAUAGUGAACCAGUACCGUGAGGGAAAGGCGAAAAGAACCCCUGUUAGGGGAGUGAAAUAGAACCUGAAACCGUGUGCAUACAAGCAGUCGGAGCGGACUUGUUCCGUGACGGCGUACCUUUUGUAUAAUGGGUCAGCGACUUAUAUUCUGUAGCAAGCUUAACCGUGUAGGGGAGGCGUAGGGAAACCGAGUCUUAAUAGGGCGUUUUAGUUGCAGGGUAUAGACCCGAAACCGAGUGAUCUAUCCAUGAGCAGGUUGAAAGUGCCGUAACAGGCACCGGAGGACCGAACCCACUCCCGUUGAAAAGGUAGGGGAUGACUUGUGGAUAGGGGUGAAAGGCUAAUCAAACUCGGUGAUAGCUGGUUCUCCCCGAAAGCUAUUUAGGUAGCGCCUCGGACGAAUACCUUGGGGGGUAGAGCACUGUUUCGGCUAGGGGGUCAUCCCGACUUACCAAACCGAUGCAAACUCCGAAUACCCAAGAGUACUAUCCGGGAGACAGACGGCGGGUGCUAACGUCCGUCGUCAAGAGGGAAACAACCCAGACCGCCAGCUAAGGCCCCAAAUUCCUAGUUAAGUGGGAAACGAUGUGGGAAGGCACAGACAGCUAGGAGGUUGGCUUAGAAGCAGCCACCCUUUAAAGAAAGCGUAAUAGCUCACUAGUCGAGUCGGCCUGCGCGGAAGAUGUAACGGGGCUCAAACUAGGAGCCGAAGCUGCGGAUUUAAUUGUUUCAAUUAAGUGGUAGGGGAGCGUUGUGUAAGCCUGUGAAGGUGUAUUGUAAGGUAUGCUGGAGGUAUCACAAGAGCGAAUGCUGACGUGAGUAACGACAAAACGGGUGAAAAGCCCGUUCGCCGGAAGACCAAGGGUUCCAGUCCAACGUUAAUCGGGGCUGGGUGAGUCGACCCCUAAGGCGAGGCCGAAAGGCGUAGUCGAUGGGAAAUCGGUUAAUAUUCCGAUACUUGUUUAUGAUGCGAUGGAGGGACGGAGAAGGUUAUGUCAGCCUGGCGUUGGUUGUCCAGGUGGAAGGAUGUAGGUAGGUUUAGUAGGCAAAUCCGCUAGACUAUUACUGAGAUCUGAUAGCAAGCCAGUUUACUGGCGAAGUGGCAAAUACCCUGCUUCCAGGAAAAGCUUCUAAGCGAUAGUCAUAAACAAAUCGUACCCGAAACCGACACAGGUGGUCAGGUAGAGAAUACCAAGGCGCUUGAGAGAACUCUGCUGAAGGAACUAGGCAAAAUGGUACCGUAACUUCGGGAGAAGGUACGCUGCUGAUGGUGAUAAGACUUGCUCUUUGAGCUGUUGGCAGUCGCAGAUACCAGGCUGCUGCAACUGUUUAUUAAAAACACAGCACUCUGCAAACACGAAAGUGGACGUAUAGGGUGUGAUGCCUGCCCGGUGCUGGAAGGUUAAUUGAUGGGGUUAGCGUAUGCGAAGCUCUUGAUCGAAGCCCCAGUAAACGGCGGCCGUAACUAUAACGGUCCUAAGGUAGCGAAAUUCCUUGUCGGGUAAGUUCCGACCUGCACGAAUGGCAUAAUGAUGGCAGCGCUGUCUCCAGCAGAGACUCAGUGAAAUCGAAAUCGCAGUGAAGAUGCUGUGUACCCGCGGCUAGACGGAAAGACCCCGUGAACCUUUACUACAGCUUUACAUUGAACUUUGACCUAACUUGUGUAGGAUAGGUGGGAGGCUUUGAAGUGGCGACGCCAGUUGCCAUGGAGCCAACCUUGAAAUACCACCCUGGUUAUGUUGGGGUUCUAACUUAGAUGUAACAACAUCAAGGACAAUGUAUGGUGGGUAGUUUGACUGGGGCGGUCUCCUCCUAAAGAGUAACGGAGGAGUACGAAGGUGCGCUCAGAACGGUCGGAAAUCGUUCAAAGAGUAUAAAGGCAAAAGCGCGCUUAACUGUGAGACCCACAAGUCGAGCAGGUACGAAAGUAGGUCUUAGUGAUCCGGUGGUUCUGUAUGGAAGGGCCAUCGCUCAACGGAUAAAAGGUACUCUGGGGAUAACAGGCUGAUACCGCCCAAGAGUUCAUAUCGACGGCGGUGUUUGGCACCUCGAUGUCGGCUCAUCUCAUCCUGGGGCUGAAGCAGGUCCCAAGGGUAUGGCUGUUCGCCAUUUAAAGAGGUACGCGAGCUGGGUUUAGAACGUCGUGAGACAGUUCGGUCCCUAUCUACCGUGGGCGUUGGAAAUUUGAGAGGAUCUGCUCCUAGUACGAGAGGACCAGAGUGGACGAACCUCUGGUGUUCCGGUUGUUACGCCAGUAGCACUGCCGGGUAGCUAUGUUCGGAUGGGAUAACCGCUGAAAGCAUCUAAGCGGGAAGCCCACCUCAAGAUAAGAUUUCCCUAAAGAGCCGUUGUAGACUACGACGUUGAUAGGUUGGGUGUGGAAGUGUAGUGAUACAUGUAGCUAACCAAUACUAAUUGCUCGUUUGGCUUGACCAU